rnacentral:lncRNA from 1 species
AUUUCUUAAGGGCCCUGCAAAGACCUCAUUACUCAGGAAUGGGAAAUCUAAUCAAGAGGUUGCUUCAGAAAUAUUUGCAAACUGUGCAAAUUAAUGUAAUCUGAAAUCUUUUGGUUUGCUUAGAGGUACCAGGGGACACACACAUCCUACUGAUGAUUUUAAGGAGUAGGUUGGUCUUUUCCUUCUAAGAAUCAGACCAAACACAGGAGCAAUUUGGAGCUCAGAAUCAGAACUGAAACUCUUUUCCUGUCUUUAAAAUUUUCAUGCAUUGCUUAUAUUUUUAAAACUCAUGUUUCAGGAAUAAGCCUUUUAGGUACCUGCCAUUCAAUUUAAACUACCUACUGAAACUUCUAUUCUGGAAAAUGGGACAAGAUAAAUAGAACUUUUUGGAUAAUUUGUUCUUUUUUUUCCCUCCUCUUAUUUAAGCCAGAUGUUACCUCUAUGCAGAGCAAGAAGUGGUCCACAGCUGGUUAACUAGAAGAUAUAUCUAUUCAUAAGUGUAUAUCAGAGAGGAAAAUUACUGGAAUUUUCUGCCAGAUACUGUGUUUUCAAAUAAAAUGACUCAGAAGCAUGGAAUGAACAGAACUUCCAGGUUUCAAUAUAACACCUUUCAAAAUAUGAACAGGUCUCCAAAACAUUACAGGGACAGAGAAACAAGUAAAUCCUCAGAGGCCACUGCAGAAUUUUUAAACACGAC